ACAGAAUAAUGAAAGUGCUCAAGUCGUGUAUAGAAUCCCCUAUUUUUCUAUUAUUGAUGUUUGAUGUCUCACAUGAAUGGUCCUAUCACUAUAAUCCCACGACGAAUUAACAAAACGACUAUAAUCGAUCCAUCGUGAAAUAGCUCACUAAUCACUACUCGGAGCUUCCUAUCCCUAGUCCACUAGCGUAAGUAGGAUUAGGCGAUGUAACAGAGCGUUAAUUCACUAGCCAUUACUCUAGGUUUCCUAUUUCUAGUUUACCAGUGUAAGCAUGAUAAUUG
rnacentral:lncRNA from 1 species